rnacentral:rRNA from 1 species
GGUUGACCUCGGAUCAGGUAGGGAUACCCGCUGAACUUAAGCAUAUCAAUAAGCGGAGGAAAAGAAACCAACAGGGAUUGCCUCAGUAACGGCGAGUGAAGCGGCAAGAGCUCAAAUUUGAAAGCUGGCUCCUUCGGGGUCCGCAUUGUAAUUUGCAGAGGAAGCUUCGGGAGCGGUCCCCAUCUAAGUGCCCUGGAACGGGCCGUCAUAGAGGGUGAGAAUCCCGUAUGGGAUGGGGUGUCCGCGCCCGUGUGAAGCUCCUUCGACGAGUCGAGUUGUUUGGGAAUGCAGCUCUAAAUGGGUGGUAAAUUUCAUCUAAAGCUAAAUAUUGGCCGGAGACCGAUAGCGCACAAGUAGAGUGAUCGAAAGAUGAAAAGCACUUUGAAAAGAGAGUUAAAAAGCACGUGAAAUUGUUGAAAGGGAAGCGUUUGCGACCAGACUCGCUCGCGGGGUUCAGCCGACUUUCGGGUCGGUGUACUUCCCCGUGAGCGGGCCAGCGUCGGUUUGGGCGGCCGGUCAAAGGCCCUUGGAAUGUAACGCCUUCCGGGGCGUCUUAUAGCCAAGGGUGCCAUGCGGCCUGCCCGGACCGAGGAACGCGCUUCGGCUCGGACGCUGGCAUAAUGGUCGUAAACGACC